ensembl:lncRNA
AUGUAUGUAUGUGUGGUGUUUAUUUCACAGAUCUGCUCAUAUGGUGUCGAGCUGCAGAGACUAGAUUUGGUUCAAAAUGUGACUAUAAACUGUGAUUUUGAUGUUAAGGAGGUUAAUUGGUUAUUAUUGAAACCUCAAGAUCCUCCCGUUUUAAUAUUACACACUUUCUCUCCAGCUCGUUACUACAACAAUAGAUUCAGACACAAAUAUUCAGUGCAAUGUAAACCUCAUUUGUUCAUAAAUAAUGUCACUAUUGAUGAAUUAGGAUUUUAUUACUGUUUGACCACAGACACUCCUCCAAAAUACAGAGACGGCACCAGACUACACAUCACUGAACUGACUGAAAAAAGCAAGAAUCAACACAAUGGCCGAUUACUGUCCUCGUAUCUGCUUUCAUAAAUGGUCUUCUGAUUAUUAUGAUCAUAGGCUUGGUGAAGAGCUACAUUGAUGUAGCUGGAAGAUCAAAAAAUUACACUGCAGCUAAAAACUCCAAUAAUCUACAG